rnacentral:rRNA from 1 species
CCUACGGGUGACAGCAGUGGGGAAUAUUGGGCAAUGGGCGCAAGCCUGACCCAGCAACGCCGCGUGAAGGAAGAAGGCUUUCGGGUUGUAAACUUCUUUUGUCAGGGAAGAGUAGAAGACGGUACCUGACGAAUAAGCCACGGCUAACUUCGCGCCAGCAGCCGCGGUAAUACGUAGGUGGCAAGCGUUGUCCGGAUUUACCGGGUGUAAAGGGCGUGUAGCCGGGUUGACAAGUCAGGUGUGAAAUCCUGCGGCUUAACCGCAGAACUGCAUUUGAAACUGUUGAUCUUGAGUACUGGAGAGGCAGACGGAAUUCCUGGUGUAGCGGUGAAAUGCGUAGAUAUUAGGAGGAACACCAGUGGCGAAGGCGGUCUACUGGACAGCAACUGACGGUGAGGCGCGAAAGCGUGGGGAGCAAACAGGAUUAGAUACCCGUGUAGUC